rnacentral:rRNA from 1 species
GACGAACGCUUGCGGCGUGCCUAAGAAAUGCAAGUCGAGCGGGAAUGCUUUGCAUUGGGUUGAUAGUGUAUGGUUGAUUGUUGAUGGUAACGGCAAAGACCGGUUUUCACCAUCAACCAUCAACAAUCAACUAUCACCAAUCAACCGAAUGCAGAGCAUUCUAGCGGCGAACGGUCGCGUAACACGUAAGCAACCUGCCCCG